UACGUAGGGGGCAAGCGUUGUCCGGAAUCAUUGGGCGUAAAGAGCGUGUAGGCGGCCAGAUAAGUCCGCUGUGAAAACUCGAGGCUCAACUUCGAGCUGUCGGUGGAAACUAUUUGGCUAGAGUCCGGAAGAGGAGAGUGGAAUUCCUGGUGUAGCGGUGAAAUGCGCAGAUAUCAGGAGGAACACCGGUGGCGAAGGCGGAUCUCUGGGCCAUUACUGACGCUGAGGAGCGAAAGCGUGGGGAGCGAACAGG
rnacentral:rRNA from 1 species